AACGAACGCUGGCGGCAGGCCUAACACAUGCAAGUCGAGCGAGAUCUUCGGAUCUAGCGGCGGACGGGUGAGUAACGCGUGGGAAUAUGCCUCUUGGUACGGAAUAGCCUCGGGAAACUGGGAGUAAUACCGUAUGUGCCCUUUGGGGGAAAGAUUUAUCGCCAAGAGAUUAGCCCGCGUUGGAUUAGGUAGUUGGUGGGGUAAUGGCCUACCAAGCCGACGAUCCAUAGCUGGUUUGAGAGGAUGAUCAGCCACACUGGGACUGAGACACGGCCCAGACUCCUACGGGAGGCAGCAGUGGGGAAUCUUAGACAAUGGGGGCAACCCUGAUCUAGCCAUGCCGCGUGAGUGAUGAAGGCCUUAGGGUUGUAAAGCUCUUUCAGCUGGGAAGAUAAUGACGGUACCAGCAGAAGAAGCCCCGGCUAACUCCGUG
rnacentral:rRNA from 1 species